ACGGAGGGUGCAAGCGUUAUCCGGAAUCACUGGGUUUAAAGGGUGCGUAGGCGGUUUUUUAAGUCAGUUGUGAAAUUCCCCCGCUUAACGGGAGGGACUGCGAUUGAUACUGGGGAACUUGAAUCAGGUUGAGGUAGGCGGAAUGUGACAUGUAGCGGUGAAAUGCAUAGAUAUGUCAUAGAACACCGAUUGCGAAGGCAGCUUGCUGGACCUGUAUUGACGCUGAGGCACGAAAGCGUGGGGAGCAAACAGG
rnacentral:rRNA from 1 species